rnacentral:rRNA from 1 species
UACGAAGGGGGCUAGCGUUGCUCGGAAUUACUGGGCGUAAAGCGCGCGCAGGCGGCUAUCCAAGUCAGUGGUGAAAGCCCGGAGCUCAACUCCGGAACUGCCAUUGAAACUGUUUAGCUUGAGGACGAGAGAGGUGAGUGGAAUUCCCAGUGUAGAGGUGAAAUUCGUAGAUAUUGGGAAGAACACCGGUGGCGAAGGCGGCUCACUGGCUCGUAUCUGACGCUCAGGCGCGACAGCGUGGGGAUCAAACAGG